UACGUAGGGUGCGAGCGUUGUCCGGAACUACUGGGCGUAAAGAGCUCGUAGGUGGUUUGUCGCGUUGUUCGUGAAAACUCACAGCUUAACUGUGGGCGUGCGGGCGAUACGGGCAGACUGGAGUACUGCAGGGGAGACUGGAAUUCCUGGUGUAGCGGUGGAAUGCGCAGAUAUCAGGAGGAACACCGGUGGCGAAGGCGGGUCUCUGGGCAGUAACUGACGCUGAGGAGCGAAAGCGUGGGGAGCAAACAGG
rnacentral:rRNA from 1 species